CAGCAGCCGCGGGAAUACGGAGGGUGCAAGCGUUAAUCGGAAUUACUGGGCGUAAAGCGCACGCAGGCGGUUUGUUAAGUCAGAUGUGAGAUCCCCGAGCUUAACUUGGGAGCUGCAUUUGAAACUGGCAGGCUAGAGUCUUGUAGAGGGGGGUAGAAUUCCAGGUGUAGCGGUGAAAUGCGUAGAGAUCUGGAGGAAUACCGGUGGCGAAGGCGGCCCCCUGGACAAAGACUGACGCUCAGGUGCGAAAGCGUGGGGAGCAAACAGGAUUAGAUACCCGCGUAGUCCCUGUCUCUUAUAC
rnacentral:rRNA from 1 species